rnacentral:misc_RNA from 1 species
GGAUGAAGAACGUAGCGAAAUGCGAUAAGUAAUGUGAAUUGCAGAAUUCAGUGAAUCAUCGAAUCUUUGAACGCACAUUGCGGCCAUAGGUAUUCCUUUGGCCAUGCCUGUUCGAGCGUCAUUUACACCCUCAAGCCUAGCUUGGUGUUGGGCGUCUGUCCCGCCGUUUUCGCGCGCGGACUCGCCUCAAAGUCAUUGGCGGCGGUCGUGCCGGCCCCCUCGCGCAGCACAUUUGCGCUUCUCGGAGGCCCGGCGGAUCCGCGCUCCAGCAAGACCUUUCACGACUUGACCUCGGAUCAGGUAGGGAUACCCGCUGAACUUAAGCAUAUCAAUAAGCGGAGGA